rnacentral:rRNA from 1 species
GACGAACCGUGCGAACGUUGUUCGGAAUCACUGGGCGUAAAGGGCUCGUAGGUGGCCAACUAAGUCAUACGUGAAAUCCCUCAGCUUAACUGGGGAACUGCGCCUGAUACUGGUUGGCUUGAGUUUGGGAGAGGGACGCGGAAUUCCAGGUGUAGCGGUGAAAUGCGUAGAUAUCUGGAGGAACACCGGUGGCGAAGGCGGCGUCCUGGACCAAUACUGACACUGAGGAGCGAAAGCCAGGGGAGCAAACGGG